GACGAACGCUGGCGGCGUGCCUAACACAUGCAAGUCGAACGGGGUAGUUCCUUCGGGGACUACUUAGUGGCGAACGGGUGAGUAACGCGUGAGAAACCUGCCUUUCAGUGGGGGACAACAGUUGGAAACGACUGCUAAUACCGCAUAAUGUUUCGAGAGGGCAUCCUUUUGAAACCAAAGCUUUAUGUGCUGAAAGAUGGUCUCGCGUCUGAUUAGCUAGUUGGUGAGGUAACGGCUCACCAAGUCGACGAUCAGUAGCCGGUCUGAGAGGAUGGACGGCCACAUUGGGACUGAGAUACGGCCCAGACUCCUACGGGAGGCAGCAGUGGGGAAUAUUGGGGCAAUGGGGGAAACCCUGACCCAGCAACGCCGCGUGAAGGAAGAAGGCCUUCGGGUUGGUAAACUUCUUUACCUAGGGACGAACACAAUGACGGUACCUGGAGAAAAGACAACGGCUAACUACGUG
rnacentral:rRNA from 1 species